UUGACGGGGUCCCGCACAAGCGGUGGAUUAUGUGGAUUAAUUCGAUGCAACGCGAAAAACCUUACCUACCCUUGACAUGCUAGGAAGUCCGCAGAGAUGUGGAUGUGCCCGAAAGGGAACCUAGACACAGGUGCUGCAUGGCUGUCGUCAGCUCGUGUCGUGAGAUGUUGGGUUAAGUCCCGCAACGAGCGCAACCCUUGCCAUUAGUUGCGACAUUUAGUUGAGCACUCUAAUGGGACCGCCGGUGACAAACCGGAGGAAGGUGGGGAUGACGUCAAGUCCUCAUGGCCCUUAUGGGUAGGGCUUCACACGUAAUACAAUGGUCGGUACAGAGGGCUGCCAACCCGCGAGGGGGAGCUAAUCCCAGAAAGCCGAUCGUAGUCCGGAUUGUAGUCUGCAACUCGACUGCAUGAAGCCGGAAUCGCUAGUAAUCGCGGAUCAGCAUGUCGCGGUGAAUACGUUCCCGGGUCUUGUACACACCGCCCGUCACACCAUGGGAGUGGGUUCCACCAGAAGUAGGUAGCCUAACCGCAAGGAGGGCGCUUACCACGGUGAGAUUCAUGACUGGGGUGAAGUCGUAACAAGGUAACC
rnacentral:rRNA from 1 species